GUGAACGCUGGCGGUAGGCCUAACACAUGCCAGUCGAACGGCAGCACAGUAAGAGCUUGCUCUUACGGGUGGCGAGUGGCGGACGGGUGAGGAAUACAUCGGAAUCUACUUUUUCGUGGGGGAUAACGUAGGGAAACUUACGCUAAUACCGCAUACGACCUACGGGUGAAAGCAGGGGAUCUUCAGACCUUGCGCGAUUGAAUGAGCCGAUGUCGGAUUAGCUAGUUGGCGGGGUAAAGGCCCACCAAGGCGACGAUCCGUAGCUGGUCUGAGAGGAUGAUCCGACACACUGGCGGUGGGCAGCGGUGCGGAAUAUUGAGCAAGGGAGGCGUGCGUAAUCCUGCAAUAUCGGGUGAAUGAUGAUGCCGUGCGGCUGGGUGAGCCAUUUAGUUUUUAGAAAAAUACAGCUGUUUAAUACCACGCGGUACUGACGGUACCAAAGGAAGAAGCCCCGGCUAACUUCGUG
rnacentral:rRNA from 1 species